CUGUACACAUUAAUUAACUUAAACAGUUUUCGUAAAUGCCUUUCAGAGAAACGUGAAUUCUGAGAUUUGAAUAAUGCAUCUGACGUGUGGGAUGACGUCACGACGCACGUAUUUUGAUUUUUAACAGUCGUUCAAGACAGACGGAUUCAGUCCCAAGAAGCUAAAGUUUUUCAAAGACAUUUGUAGGGAGGACUUUGCAGCUAAUGAUUUCCUAAGGCUGAACCAAAACCUGCCAGACUAAAGUUGAUUUGGGAGAGAAAGACGUUGUAAACUUAAUCAUCUUGACAUUCUUCAAUGAGUAAUUGCUCAAUUUUUAGGCAAAUACUGUACACUUUGAAUGCUGUGAAUAAAACUAUAUUUUAAAUAUAUUUAAAAUGAAUUGUUUUUGACUGUUUUAAUCAGCUUUUAUUUAUUUGGAAAAAAUUAUUUUGGUUAUGUUACCAGCAAGUAAUCUAUUCCCAAAAUAGCACUCUUUAAGUUAACUAAUUAUUAACGCACUUGAAGUAUACUCAUUACUAAUCUAGCUGCAGGUAUGUAAAAGUAUACAAAAUGUAAUGUACUUGGCAUAUUCAUUUUUCACCAGGGCAGUUUUUAGAAUUUUGGAUUGGCCAAAAAUAUAUAGAAUGUAUGCAAACAGUCUAUUUAAGGUAUACUGAUUGUAUGUUUGCAAGACACUCAUAAUACAUUUGUAAUGUACUCCUAACAUAAAUAAAACACACUCUAAAUACACUUAUCAAGCAUGAAUUUAGCACAAAAACAGUCAUGUACUUAAAUUGUACUAAAUACACUUAAAGUUGUUCCACUUUAGCACACAAAAGUACACUAAAUACACUUAAAGUUGUACUUUGUUACAAUUAAUAUACAACUAAAAUAUAUUAAGUACAAAAUUAAUUGUUCCAAAAUAGCACUCUUUAAAUAAACUAAUCAAUAGCACACUUUAAGUAUACUGGUCAUUAGUGUGACUGCAAGUAUACUUAAGUAUAUCAAAAUUAAAUAUAUUUAGCAUACUAUUUUUUCACCA